GAGUAGGUGAGGUUAUGGGAAGGUAAAUCGAAAUGUUGGUAGAGAGGUUAGGAUGAGAUAAUGCCAAUAGAUGUUGGUUAAGAUGAGGUUGAUGAGGUUUAGGAGGUAGAUUGACUUGUUAGUGAAGAGGUUGAGUAGGUGAGGUUAUGGGAAGGUAAAUCGAUAUGUUGGUGGAGAAGUAUAGAUGAGAUAAUAAAUGGUGAUUAAGAGGUUGGGUUCACGAGGUUUAGGAAGUGGAAUGAUACGUUGGUGUGAAGAGGUUGAGUAGGUGAGGUUAUGGGAAGGUAAAUCGAUAUGUUGGUAGAGAGGGUUAGAUGAGAUAAUAGAUGGUGAUUAAGAGGUUGGGUUCACGAGGUUUAGGAAGUGGAAUGAUACGUUGGUGUGAAGAGGUUGAGUAAGUGAGGUUAUGGGAAGGUAAAUCGAUAUGUUGGUGGAGAGGGUUAGAUGAGGUAAUGUGAAUGCAAGUUGUUUUUUUACAGCUAAAGAAACAGCUCAAGGGCAACCAAAAAAAGGGGUAAAAAAAAAAAGCCCGCUAAUCGCUGUUCCCACAAAGACAAAAGUAAUGAGCGGGCAAAAGAGAGGUCAAUUUCGGGAGGUUGGUUCGGGAAGUUGGUUAAUUAGCUGAGGCUUUGGAAAGGUGAACUGACGUGUUGGUUAGAUUAAGAGGUAAGAGAAUAGGUAGAGGAUAGGUAGAGGAUAGGUAGGGAAAUGAGAGGGAUAGUUAAGGACAGUUGGGACGGAACAAGGGAUUUUUUAUGUUUUUUUUUCACUCCAAACUGAAACUAGAAUGAAACCAGAUGUCGUAUGAAUUGGAACAUGUAUAGAACAGGAAGUGGGGAGAUGGGAAGGGAAAUGGAGAUGAGGGGAAAAGGGGAGGAGAGGAAAAACGGGAGAAGAGAAAAGAAUAGAAGAGAAAGGGAGAAUACAGGAACAGGGGAGAAGAGAAAGAGAGGGGAGAAUACAAGAGAAGGGAAGAAGAGGAGAAUAAAGA